rnacentral:lncRNA from 1 species
GCCUUGAACAACUGCCUUAACAUUGCUGAAACUCAAUAUCUUCAUUUGAACAAACAGAGUGGUGAUUUCCACCCCACAGUGGUGUUGUUCAGAAUGAACAUGAAAAUAAAGCAGCGAGCAUGUAGUCGGCUCUCAUUAAAAUCCUGGAUAUGGAGUCCGAGAUAUGGAAGGCCAAUUGGCUGCCAAAGAAAUGGGAGAGACAACACGUGCGGUGGCUUCAAAGGAGGAGGGAGAGUUGAGUUUAAACUAAUGAAGUAAAGGCAGGGAUGGGAGACUGAAAGGAAGGAAGACGCUGACACUUCUUCAGUGUGAUUGUAUGCCAUACACUGUGCUGGGUGCUGUUAAUACAACAACGCUUCUGGCUAUGUACUGUUUAACCCCAUUAGAAAUAAAGCAACAGGAGUUCAGAGAAUUUAAGUAACUCGAUUUAGGUCACUCAGCAAUUAGCCAGGCCAGACAUAUACCCAGGCUGAAGGAUGGCCAAGCUCAUUAAGUCAGGCAGCUAGAAUUGAGACCAGUGGUGAAAUAGAAUGAGAGCAUUGAUAUGAACGUGGUUUAUACACUUUUAAGGGCUACGAAGAUCAUUCCAGAGGAAUGAAGGAACAAGGAGAGAAUUGUGUCAACAAAGACUGGCACAUGGCAGGAUUCCACUCACUUUCCACAAACUUUGAAGGAAGAAGUAGCUAAUUGAAUCUGAAGUUUCAUUCACUAGAAACUAAUAGAGAAUUUACAAUAAUUUAUCCUGGAUGGAAAGUAAGAUCCAUCAUGUACAUGUUAGACAAGAGAAGCAUUUGAUCCCUUAUCUUCCUAGUUAACAUUCAUCUUGAACACUGAUUAUGUGAUAGUCUUCCUAAAACAAAUAGCAAGGGGGAUGGGGUUGGGGAGCACACAGAUAACAAAAAAGUUUUGAUGAGCUUUAUGGAGACAGGAGAUAAUUUGUUGAUAUAAAAAUACACCUGUAAUCCCAGCACUUGGGGAGGCUGAGGCGGGCGGAUCACUUGAGGUCAGGAGUUUGAGACCAGCCUGGCCAACAUGGUAAAACCCUGUCUCUACUAAAAAUACAAAAAUUAGCUUGGCGUGGUAGUGUGUGCUUGUAGUCCCAGCUACUCGUGAGGCUGAAGCAGGUAAAUCGCUUGAACCAGUGAGGCAGAGGUUGCAGUGAGCUGAGAUCACACCACUGCACUCCAGCCUGGGCGACAGAGCGAGACUCUGUCUCAAAAAAAAAAAAAAAAGAGACGCUUUUGCAUGUACUUCCUUUCCACCACCAUCUGUCACCUAGGAAAACCUCUACAAUCACAAAGCUUAUCUGAAAAUCUGACUAUAUUCAGGCAAGAUUCAAACCAAGAGAAGUCAAACCUAGAGACACGCGGUUAUGAACUAUAAACUGUUCAUAAGGCCCUGGGGUUUUUCGGACCACUUGUGCCCUAACCAGCCUGUGGGCUCCCAUGUUCAUUAUCCUCCCAAGUGUUAAGGCACAAGGUAUCAGGCAUCAGGCAGUUUUUGUAUUAGGAAGACUAUCACAUAAUCAGUGUUAAAGAUCAAUGUUAACUAGGAAGAUAAGGGAUCAAAUGCUUCUCUUGUUUAACAUAUACACGAUGGAUCUUACUUUCCAUCCAGGAGAAGUUAUUGUAAAUUCUCUAUAUUAGUUUCUAGUGAAUGAAACUUCAGAUUCAAUUAGCUACUUCUUCCUUCGAAGUUUGUGGAAAGUGAGUGGAAUCCUGCCAUGUGCCAGACUUUGUUGACACAAUUCUCUCUUUGUUCCUGCAUUCCUUUGGAAUAAUCUUCAUAGUCCUUAAAAGUUUGUAAACCAUGUUCAUAUCAAUGCUCUCAUUCUAUUUCACCACUGAUCUCAAUUCAGGCAGUUUUUGUUGCACAAAACCUCAGAAACUAAAACAACGAACAUUAUUUGGCACAUGUCUGCAGAGCCCAGCACUGCUCUACAGUGGGCUUGACUGGACAGCUCUGCUGAUCUCGGCUGGGAGCACUGAGGCAUCUGGGGCUUGGCUAUCGCUUGGCCAGUCUAGGCCAGCCUUGGCUGCAGUGACUCAGCUCUGCUCCGGGUGUCUCUCACCCACCUCUGGAAUCAGCGGGCUACCUCAGUCAUGUCAUUCUCACGACGAUGGAAGCAGUGCAAGAGGAAAAGUGAAACAUGCAGGAGCUCUUGAGGCCUAGUCUCCAGACUGGCACACCAUCUUGUCUGCCUUAUUCCACUGACCAACAUAAACCACCAACUUGAGCCCAGAGUCUGGGUAUGAAAGAGCUGCACAGAUGCAUGGCAAUGGACAUGAAUAUAGUGAGGGUGAAGAUGGGGACCGUUACCGGCUCCAGUCACACCUAGUCUGCAAAAGACUUGGCUCACUGGUUGGGCCCAAGAGGUUCCCUGAGGACAAUGACUGUAUCUAUUUAUGUUAUUUCAUCUUUUCAAUCACUUUGCAAAACAAUAUCAUGACUCCAACUUAUAAAAGAGGAUAUCAAGUUUCCAAAACAUGAAGAAAUAAACUACUUAAAAUCAUCUGUCCCUUCACAUUGGAUAGCCCUUGAAAUUGAACUCCAGCACCAUUAUCAGUUGCUAAAGUUCCCGAACCAUUCCAGGGAGGGACCUUCUUAAUGGUCCAAAUCUCAGCCAGGCAUUAUUCUUGUGAUUUCAGGGAGUGCGCGGCUCUGGGCUGAGGCCAUUGAGACUUGUAUUUGAUGGAGAACCAGGCUUUAAGGAGAAGGAAACAGUAUUUUGAAUACAAGGCGCUGCUCUUAUCUUCUAUCAAUAGAUAAAGUUUUGGGAUAUGCACCUUCCACUAAGGCUCACAAAAGGAUUGGCAGCAUUUUGAAAGGGCAAAACAAGUUUUUCUUUCUUUUCCCUCUCUUUUAGGGUGAAGUAGUUGCAUUGAU